GGGGAUUUAGCUCAGUGGUAGAGCGCUUGCCUAGCAAGCGCAAGGUCCUGGGUUCGGUCCCCAGCCCCG
rnacentral:tRNA from 1 species